GGGCCCGCACAAGCGGAGGAACAUGUGGUUUAAUUCGAUGAUACGCGAGGAACCUUACCUGGGCUUAAAUGUAGGCUGCAUUCCGCUGAAAGGUGGAUUUCCGCAAGGACUGCUUACAAGGUGCUGCAUGGUUGUCGUCAGCUCGUGCCGUGAGGUGUCGGGUUAAGUCCCAUAACGAGCGCAACCCCUACCGUUAGUUGCCAUCAGGUCAUGCUGGGAACUCUAGCGGGACUGCCACCGUAAGGUGAGAGGAAGGUGGGGAUGACGUCAAAUCAGCACGGCCCUUAUGUCCAGGGCUACACACGUGUUACAAUGGCAGGUACAAAGGGCAGCUACACCGCGAGGUGAUGCUAAUCUCUAAAGCCUGUCUCAGUUCGGAUCGCAGUCUGAAACCCGACUGCGUGAAGUUGGAUUCGCUAGUAAUCGCGCAUCAGCCAUGGCGCGGUGAAUACGUUCCCGGGCCUU
rnacentral:rRNA from 1 species